rnacentral:lncRNA from 1 species
UUAUAGCUGAAAAAAUCAGUAAAUGCAUGAAAAAUAACAAAUGAAGUCAGAAAGGCUUGAAAAUUAAUGAUGUGGCUUUGAAUGGUGCAUUUUGAACAUAGAAAAAGUAUGGAGUUCAAAUAAGUUCAAAAAAUGAAAUCCCUUUUGUAACAGACGAGUUUCCGUAUGAAACCCUGAUACUUCGAAAGAGAUUGUCCGUUUUGUACACGAAGGGCAUCUAGUUUUUGCCGUAAGCCUCUCUACUUUCUUGCACAUGCUAUGUGGGUGAAAUGAUGAUACCAUGCCAACUUUUAACCUUUUCAGAGUUCAUUUGAAAUGCUUUUCAAUUUCAGGGUCUUAUAGCUGGAAAAAAUCAGUAAAUGCAUGAAAACUAACAAAUGAAGUCAGAAAGGGUUGAAAAUUGAUGAUGUGGCUUGGAAUGGUGCAUUUUGAACAUAGAAAAACUAUGGAGUUCAAAUAAGUUCAAAAAAAUGAAAUCCUUUUGUUACAGACGAUUUUCAGUAUGAAACCCUGAUACUUCGAAAGAGAUUGUCCGUUUUGUACACGAAGUGCAUCCAGUUUUUGCCGUAAGCCUCUCUAAUUUCUUGCACAUGCUAUGUGCAUGAAAUGAUGAUACCAUGCUGAUACGUCUCCGUCGUAUCUACUUUUCCAAACACUUUUGCCCUUGUUUUGGACACUAACUUGCAUGAUUUCAAUGGAACUAACCCGGACUAACGCUGUUUUCAGCAGAAUUGCCAUGGUGUUAUUUAUGUGCAGAAACAAAAGUUCUCGCAAUGACCUGAAACUCCACGGAACAUAUUUUUGGAAAAUAUUAAAAAUAUUGGAAGAAGAAUCCACGUCAGGGGGCCCACACCCUGUCCACGAGGGUGGGGGGCGCGCCUGCCCCCCUGGGCGCGCCCCCUGCCUCGUGGGCCCCCUGACGCUCCACCGACCUCAACUCCAACUCCAUAUAUUCACUUUCGGGGAGAAAAAAGUCAAAGAGAAGGAUUCAUCGUGUUUUACGAUAUGGAGCCGCCGCCAAGCCCUAAAACCUCUCGGGAGGGCUGAUCUGGAGUCCGUUCGGGGCUCCGGAGAGGGGUAUCCAUCGCCAUCGUCAUCAUCAACCAUCUCCAUCACCAAUUUCAUGAUGCUCACCGCCAUGCGUGAGUAAUUCCAUCGUAGGCUUGUUGGACGGUGAUCCCUAGUAUCCACUAUGUUCUGAGAUUGAUGUUGCUAUGACUUUGCUAUGCUUAAUGCUUGUCACUAGGGCCCGAGUGCCAUGAUUUCAGAUCUGAACCUAUUAUGUUUUCAUGAAUAUAUGUGAGUUCUUGAUCGUAUCUUGCAUGUCUAUAGUCACCUACUAUGUGUUAUGAUCUGGCAACCCCGAAGUGACAAUAAUCGGGACCACUCCCGGUGAUGACCAUAGUUUCAGGAGUUCAUGUAUUCACUAUGUGUUAAUGCUUUGGUCCGGUACUCUAUUAAAAGGAGGCCUUAAUAUCCCUUAGUUUCCAUCAGGACCCCGCUGCCACGGGAGGAUAGGACAAAAGAUGUCAUGCAAGUUCUUUUCCAUAAGCACGUAUGACUAUAUUCGGAAUACAUGCCUACAUUACAUUGAUGAAUUGGAGCUAGUUCUGUGUCACCCUAUGUUAUGAUUGUUACAUGAUGAACCGCAUCCGGCAUAAUUCUCCAUCACCGAUCCAACGCCUACGAGCUUUUCACAUAUUGUUCUCCGCUUAUUUACUUUUCCGUUUCUACUGUUACAAUCACUACAAAACCCAAAAAUAUUACUUUCCUACCGUUACCGCUACUUCCAUACUACUUUGCUACUAAAUACUUUGCUGCAGAUAUUAAGUUAUCUAGGUGUGGUUGAAUUGAGAACUCAACUGCUAAUACUUGAGAAUAUUCUUUGGCUCCCCUUGUGUCGAAUCAAUAAAUUUGGGUUGAAUACUCUACCCUCGAAAACUGUUGCGGUCCCCUAUACUUGUGGGUUAUCACAUGCCAACUUUUAACAUUUUCAGAGUUCAUUUGAAAUGCUUUUCAAUUUCAGGGUCUUAUAGCUGAAAAAAAUCAGUAAAUGCAUGAAAAAUAACAAAUGAAGUCAGAAAGGGUUGAAAAUUGAUGAUGUGGCUUUGAAUGGUGCAUUUUGAACAUAGAAAAACUAUGGAGUUCAAAUAAG